ACUAAGUUGUGGGGGGACCAGUAAUGCUGGUUGAGAUUGUAUCCGAGAGAUACUGACCCUUGGAACCUGAUCUGGUUGAGACUAGCGGAGGGAACAUGUUUAAACGAUGA
rnacentral:ncRNA from 2 species